UACGAAGGGGGCUAGCGUUGCUCGGAAUCACUGGGCGUAAAGGGCGCGUAGGCGGACUCUUAAGUCGGGGGUGAAAGCCCAGGGCUCAACCCUGGAAUUGCCUUCGAUACUGGGAGUCUUGAGUUCGGAAGAGGUUGGUGGAACUGCGAGUGUAGAGGUGAAAUUCGUAGAUAUUCGCAAGAACACCGGUGGCGAAGGCGGCCAACUGGUCCGAAACUGACGCUGAGGCGCGAAAGCGUGGGGAGCAAACAGG
rnacentral:rRNA from 1 species